rnacentral:tRNA from 1 species
GAGUGUAGCUUAGUGUUAGAACACUUGCCUACCUUGUAGGAGGUUCUGGGUUCAAGCCCCAGCAUCA